AUUGAACGCUGGCGGCAGGCCUAACACAUGCAAGUCGAACGGUAACAGGAAGAAGCUUGCUUCUUUGCUGACGAGUGGCGGACGGGUGAGGAAUGUCUGGGAAACUGCCUGAUGGAGGGGGAUAACUACUGGAAACGGUAGCUAAUACCGCAUAACGUCGCAAGACCAAAGAGGGGGACUUUCGGGCCUAUUGCCAUCGGAUGUGCCCAGAUGGGAUUAGCUAGUAGGUGGGGUAACGGCUCACCUAGGCGACGAUCCCUAGCUGCUCUGAGAGGAUGACCGGCCACACUGGAACUGAGACACGGUCCAGACUCCUACGGGAGGCAGCAGUGGGGAAUAUUGCACAAUGGGCGCAAGCCUGAUGCAGCCAUGCCGCGUGUAUGAGGAAGGCCUUCGGGUUGUAAAGUACUUUCAGCGGGGAGGAAGGGAGUAAAGUUAAUACCUUUGCUCAUUGACGUUACCCGCAGAAGAAGCACCGGCUAACUCCGUG
rnacentral:rRNA from 1 species